UACGUAGGGUGCGAGCGUUAAUCGGAAUUACUGGGCGUAAAGCGUGCGCAGGCGGUUGUGCAAGACAGAUGUGAAAUCCCCGGGCUCAACCUGGGAAUUGCAUUUGUGACUGCACGGCUAGAGUGUGUCAGAGGGGGGUAGAAUUCCACGUGUAGCAGUGAAAUGCGUAGAGAUGUGGAGGAAUACCGAUGGCGAAGGCAGCCCCCUGGGAUAACACUGACGCUCAUGCACGAAAGCGUGGGGAGCAAACAGG
rnacentral:rRNA from 1 species